CACUGAUAGACUAACGCACCAGGUGAAGUGCAGAGCGACAGACUUGCCUGCAUUCAGGCACAGCGGCAUAUCAUAAUGCUACAGGAAACCAGUCACAGUUGGAAGCUGAGUGAAGAGCUGGGAGCUGAGGAAACACACCAUGAUUAAUUGUUAGGAUGAGUCUGAUAAGCCAGAACUUGGAGAUGUUGCAGUGGCCCUCCAACAUCGUCAUCAGUGACAAUGAUACAAGUCCAGUUCAUUCUAGUCAUUGACAGUGACGUUGUGGUCAGCCUCCCCAGACUUGCUGAUGCCUUCCUGGUAAUGUCUGGACUGAUCUAUGCAUACAUCUCAGCUAUCACAAAGGACUGACCAUCAUUUGAAUUCACUCAGAGGCUUUUACUUGGUCUGGGAGAUGGAAAGAUUGCAGACUCUCAAUGACUUGAUGAUAUAUGUGUUGAAAUUCAUCAGAAAGGGGGGUGUAAACUAGAGAUCCCCCUCUUCUCUUUCUCUUUUCCCCUCAAGGCCUCUGCUGGAGCAGCUCUGCUGCUGA